CUCUCCCAUUCCGAAUAAAGGGUUAGGUGAAGGUUGUGGCCCGAGAGAUCCCAGAAGCCCUUAAAAGUCUUUAGCUUGGGGUUUGAAUAAUGAGGGCUAGAUAAGUUUGUUUUCUCUUCCUUUCAAAAAUUUUUUUAUUUUAGAGGAAGGGGAAUGAGGAAGGCGCACGCGCGCGCUCACACACACACACACACACACACACACACGCAGAAAGAGAGAAAAUGUUUGGAAUUGUGAAAGUGCCUUUCCUAGUAGUUGCUUUUACUGGCGCCCGGGCCUCAAUUCAUUUCAUCUCUGAACCAGAUACUAAAAAUCCUCCAGGCGAGUGGAGAGGACCGGCCUUCCUGGAUCGGGAACCUGCCCUCUGUCUUCCCUCGCAGCGCCCUUUCCUCCUUUCGCUUGGGAAAGGAAGAUUUCGAGCCCCAGGAAGGAGUUGGGAGUGAGCGACAGCCCAGAGCGUCCCAUAAGGUCCUUUUGGCCAUGUUUCUGCCCCGGGGGGCUUCACCUAGAUCCCCCACCCCACCCCUUACCCCUGUUGCAAAUACGUAAGCUGGACGCGCCUCGGUGCGGAUCCAGGCCUCGCUGAGCACGGAACCGGAGAAGCAGCUCACGGCCUCGGAUUCUACUCUCACCCAAGGGUGGAAGGGGGUGACAGGGCUCGGAUCUUGCCCCAAACGCUGCACAGGCCCGCAGGAGAGCAAAGAGGUCUCGGACAGGCUGUCCUUCCCCAGCUCUCGGUCGCGACAAGGUCCCGACAGGCCCGGGAACCGGCGAACCGCCUGCAGACAGGGUCUCUCUUUGUUGCCUAGGCUGGAGUGCAGUGGAACGAACUUGGCUUAUUGAAGCAUUGACCACCUGGACCCAAGUGAUUCUCCUACCUUAGCCUCUUGAAUAGCUGUGACAACAGGUGUGCACUACCACACCCAGAUAAAUUUUGUAAUUUUUAUAGAGAGGGCAUUUGACCAUGUUGCCCAGGCUGGUCUCAAACUCCUGAGCUCAAGUGAUACUCCUGCCUCGGCCUCCCAAAGUGCUGGGAUUACAGAUGAAGAAAAUGAGGCACUGAGAGAUUACAUAACUUCCCUUGAGUCAUAUUUGCUUGUAAGUGGUAAGGCUGGAUGUUGAACCCAGGACAAAGGGUCUCACUCUGUCGCCCAGUCUGGAGUGCAAUGGUGUGAUCACGGUCACUGCAACCUCUGCCUCCCGGGUUCAAGCGAUUCUCCUGCCUCAGCCUCCCAAGUAGCUGGGAUUACAGCGGCUUGCAGUAAACUUCUUGGAGGAGAAUUGGCAUUGCAAGGGUGUUACUGGAGACCUCGGCAAGAAAGUGAAUGCAAAGACAGAUGACCCAGGAACCCGUGAUGGAUAAGGCUCUUGACAGCCAGGACGUGGAAUUACAGGGGGUCUCUUUGAGAGACAAAAUAAAAAAAAUAGCCCAGUAAUCUUCCUUCCACCCUUUUCUCCCAGAUCUAAUUACAGAUGUCUUGACAUUCCUUCUGCAUAGAAUUUCCUUAAAAGAUUUGCCAAGAAGAAACAUUUGGAAACUGUGUUUUAGGUAUAAUCCGUCUGGGAGUCACUCUUGCUCGCUUUGUCGUUAGAUGACAAAACGCUUAAUUACAGCGAGCACAAUGUAUACCACAUUUGGAAAACUGGAUUCUUGACCUAAAUAAUGUACCCCAUACUGACAAUGGCCUUUUGGCAAAACUUGUGUCUCUGAUCUCACAUUAAUUACUACACAAAUAUACUUAUUGUGGGCACCGAGUUUAUGGGAUGGAGUCCUCUUGACACAUGUUCACCAUAAAAACACAUUUUUUUCCCUUCCCCUGACCCUAAGGAAAAGAAAAAAAAAAAGAUUAACAUUUUUCAAGAUGCUGUUUUAGUGACAUGAAAACUGUCUGUUGAGUGUUCACUCGGCUUUUGUUCUUUUUCUUUUCUCCUUUUAUUAAAAAGCCUUUCAAACCAAGCAUUCCUGGUUUGUGAUUCUUUACUUUUGCUUUUAUGCUGAGGGAGAGACAGAUUAGAUUAGAUUAAAGACCAAGGGACACCUCGUGAAAUACAUUCCAUCUAGAGGCAAUUUGGUUGAGAGGGCCAAUUGUGUGUGUGUGUGCCUGUGUGCGUGCAGGCGUGCGUGUUUCUCCUUGUGGCAUACUGGUGGUCUUUUUACAGAUACAGAGUUCUGGUUUUUGGAAAUGCGUUUAUUCCUUUAGCCUUUUUCCCUUCAGAAGCCUGCAGCCUUUGAUUGUGGCCUGACUUUUAGGGGUCUGCGGCAUUUUGGGGGGUAGUAAAUCUUAUUAACUCUUCCCUUUAGUGUCUCGCCAUUCUCAAAAACUUUUACAAAAAGCAGCAACACCGCCCUCACCAAAGACAGAUGAAAGGAGCGGUUUCAAAG
rnacentral:lncRNA from 10 species